AGCAGCCGCGGUAAUUCCAGCUCCAAUAGCGUAUAUUAAAGUUGCUGCAGUUAAAAAGCUCGUAGUUGAAUUUCGGGAUCAAUAUGUUGGUCGUGCCUCGGUACGUACUAGCUUAUUGGUUUCUCCCUUCUGACGAACCAUGAUGUCAUUUAUUUGGUGUUAUGAGGAAUCAGGACUGUUACUUUGAAAAAUUAGAGUGUUUAAAGCAGGCUCACGCUUGAAUACAUUAGCAUGGAAUAAUGAAAUAGGACGUUUGAUUCUAUUUUGUUGGUUUCUAGGAUCGACGUAAUGAUUAAUAGGGAUAGUUGGGGGCAUUAGUAUUCAAUUGUCAGAGGUGAAAUUCUUGGAUUUAUUGAAGACUAACUACUGCGAAAGCAUUUGCCAAGGAUGUUUUCAUUAAUCAAGAACGAAAGUUAGGGGAUCGAAGACGAUCAGAUACCGUCGUAGUCUUAACCAUAAA
rnacentral:misc_RNA from 1 species